UGGGGAAUUUUGGACAAUGGGCGAAAGCCUGAUCCAGCAAUGCCGCGUGUGUGAAGAAGGCCUUCGGGUUGUAAAGCACUUUUGUCCGGAAAGAAAAUCCUUGGCUCUAAUACAGUCGGGGGAUGACGGUACCGGAAGAAUAAGCACCGGCUAACUACGUGCCAGCAGCCGCGGUAAUACGUAGGGUGCAAGCGUUAAUCGGAAUUACUGGGCGUAAAGCGUGCGCAGGCGGUUUGCUAAGACCGAUGUGAAAUCCCCGGGCUCAACCUGGGAACUGCAUUGGUGACUGGCAGGCUAGAGUAUGGCAGAGGGGGGUAGAAUUCCACGUGUAGCAGUGAAAUGCGUAGAGAUGUGGAGGAAUACCGAUGGCGAAGGCAGCCCCCUGGGCAAUACUGACGUCAUGCACGAAAAGCGUGGGGGAGCAAAACAGGAUUAGAUACCCCUGGUAGUCCACGCCCUAAAACGAUGUCAACUAGUUGUUGGGGAUUCAUUUCCUUAGUAACGUAGCUAACGCGUGAAGUUGACCGCCUGGGGAGUACGGUCGCAAGAUUAAAACUUAAAUGAAUUG
rnacentral:rRNA from 1 species